rnacentral:rRNA from 1 species
UGGGGAAUAUUGGACAAUGGGCGCAAGCCUGAUCCAGCCAUGCCGCGUGAGUGACGAAGGCCUUAGGGUUGUAAAGCUCUUUUGGCGGGGAAGAUAAUGACGGUACCCGCAGAAUAAGCUCCGGCUAACUUCGUGCCAGCAGCCGCGGUAAUACGAAGGGAGCUAGCGUUGUUCGGAAUCACUGGGCGUAAAGCGCACGUAGGCGGACUUUCAAGUCAGGGGUGAAAUCCCGGGGCUCAACCUCGGAACUGCCUUUGAUACUGUUGGUCGCGAGUCCGGAAGAGNUGAGUGGAAUUCCUAGUGUAGAGGUGAAAUUCGUAGAUAUUAGGAAGAACACCGGUGGCGAAGGCGGCUCACUGGUCCGGUACUGACGCUGAGGUGCGAAAGCGUGGGGAGCAAACA